UAGAGUUUGAUCAUGGCUCAGGACGAACGCUGGCGGCGUGCCUAAUACAUGCAAGUAGAACGCUGAAGAGAGGAGCUUGCUCUUCUUGGAUGAGUUGCGAACGGGUGAGUAACGCGCAGGUAACCUGCCUUGUAGCGGGGGAUAACUAUUGGAAACGAUAGCUAAUACCGCAUAACAAUGGAUGACACAUGUCAUUUAUUUGAAAGGGGCAAUUGCUCCACUACAAGAUGGACCUGCGUUGUAUUAGCUAGUAGGUGAGGUAAUGGCUCACCUAGGCGACGAUACAUAGCCGACCUGAGAGGGUGAUCGGCCACACUGGGACUGAGACACGGCCCAGACUCCUACGGGAGGCAGCAGUAGGGAAUCUUCGGCAAUGGGGGCAACCCUGACCGAGCAACGCCGCGUGAGUGAAGAAGGUUUUCGGAUCGUAAAGCUCUGUUGUAAGUCAAGAACGGGUGUGAGAGUGGAAAGUUCACACUGUGACGGUAGCUUACCAGAAAGGGACGGCUAACUACGUGCCAGCAGCCGCGGUAAUACGUAGGUCCCGAGCGUUGUCCGGAUUUAUUGGGCGUAAAGCGAGCGCAGGCGGUUUGAUAAGUCUGAAGUUAAAGGCUGUGGCUCAACCAUAGUUCGCUUUGGAAACUGUCAAACUUGAGUGCAGAAGGGGAGAGUGGAAUUCCAUGUGUAGCGGUGAAAUGCGUAGAUAUAUGGAGGAACACCGGUGGCGAAAGCGGCUCUCUGGUCUGUAACUGACGCUGAGGCUCGAAAGCGUGGGGAGCGAACAGGAUUAGAUACCCUGGUAGUCCACGCCGUAAACGAUGAGUGCUAGGUGUUGGAUCCUUUCCGGGAUUCAGUGCCGCAGCUAACGCAUUAAGCACUCCGCCUGGGGAGUACGACCGCAAGGUUGAAACUCAAAGGAAUUGACG
rnacentral:rRNA from 1 species